rnacentral:lncRNA from 1 species
ACUCGAAGUUGAAGGGGAAGAGUAUUUUUUGUUUUUCUUUUUGGUUCACAAAGAACCUCAUAAGAUUGGUGCUGACUUCUGUCUCAUGAGCUGUUGUCCACACUGCGUGCGGAGCCUAGAAAACAAUAUAAAGGUCAACGAACCCAAUACUAUUGUCAUUUCUCAUUCUGAGCUCUCUCAUUUGGUGCCUGCAUAUAUACAUACAAAUCCUAAGUGUGUAAGGAUUACAUACAUGUAAUUAAAGAAGUUAGAAGUAUAAUAAAAAGAAAAAAAAUACUUACAGAUAAAAGCAGCUCACAAGAGAUUUGUCGAGAGCGUCGAGGUGACAUAAUUGGUGCAAUUCUUCGAACUGCACGUAUAUGAGGUCAUCUCCACGGAAGUAGUGAUGUUGUCUAAUACGAACAGAAAUCUAAUUCUCUCCCCUUUUAGACGCCUCAAUCCACUAUUUGUUUAUUGCAAACAUUUGUGUGCCG